UACGAAGGGGGCUAGCGUUGUUCGGAAUUACUGGGCGUAAAGCGCACGUAGGCGGAUUGUUAAGUGAGGGGUGAAAUCCCGAGGCUCAACCUCGGAACUGCCUUUCAUACUGGCAAUCUAGAGGCCGGAAGAGGUGAGUGGAAUUCCCAGUGUAGAGGUGAAAUUCGUAGAUAUUGGGAAGAACACCAGUGGCGAAGGCGGCUCACUGGUCCGGUACUGACGCUGAGGUGCGAAAGCGUGGGGAGCAAACAGG
rnacentral:rRNA from 1 species